rnacentral:rRNA from 1 species
UUCGAUUGAGUUUGAUCAUGGCUCAGGAUAAACGCUGGCGGCGUGCCUAAUGCAUGCAAGUCGCACGGGAAGUUCUUUCGGGGACUUCGAGUGGCGAACGGGUGAGGAACACGUGGACAACCUACCCCGGCGUGGGGAAUACCCUUCAGAAAUGAAGGCUAAUACCGCGUACGGUCGUUUGGGACAGCCCGAACGAAGAAAGCAGCAAUGCGCGCUGGGAGGGGUCUGCGGCCGAUUAGCUUGUUGGUGGGGUAACGGCCUACCAAGGCNAUGAUCGGUAGCGGGUCUGAGAGGACGAUCCGCCACACGG